rnacentral:pre_miRNA from 1 species
AAGAGCUCCUACACUAGGACGUGUGGCUGCCGUGGGUUGGUGGGAACCAGGCUCGCCCAGGGUCAGUGCUACCAGCGUUCAGUGUGGUCUCGUGUGC